UGCUGUAGCUGAGACCAACACAUGGGACACAUUUUGUGGGAUUUGAGCGCUCAUGGUUCAUCUGUGUCUGUGCUGCAGGAUGAUGAUGAAGAUGCUGCUGCAGCUCCUCUGCCUCCUUGCUCCCUCUGAGCCUCCUCACGUGGAGCCGCAGGGCCCCUUCAACACCAGGGGCUGAAAGACCCUGAUGGCCCUGUGAGGAAACCGCAUAUCAUCAGCUGUGGAUGUUCUGAUCCAACGAUCCUGGGACUCCAAACUGGAAACUCUUCAUAUUCUUUUUUCUUUUUAUAAAAAAAUCCUUGUUUCACCCUCACACAGGAACAUUUCAGAAAAAGGAGCCCAAGUAACUCUUUAAUUUCCAGCACACGUCAUCUCCAACUGCAAAAACUUGUGUGAAUAAAAGGAGGGAUAAUUAACACAUGUGUAAUAGGGUUUCAUUCUGGUCAUUGCAGAGCUGAGAAGUCGUAUUUUCAACUCCUCUCCCUCUUUCAGUGCUCUCUCCUCAGAAAAGCUGGGGUCACAGUGUGGAAAAGCCCCCAGCGAACUGGUAGAAAUGCAGUCCCCAUUACAGCAGCAGCAGGGGUCAGGCCAUGGCAGCAAGCAUCCAACCUGCCUGAAAUUGGCUGCAAAAUGACCAAUUACCUGAGUGAAGGCUGCGGAGAAAGGACUUGGGGGGAAAAAUAUGGCUUUUACUUAAUUCAGCUAAACUGUAAAAGAAACUAGUGUCACAUUGAGGCUUCAUACUUGCCACACGUUACAGUGGCCCACCGGUUCAGCAAAGAUCUGCCCAUGAAAAUUCUCAACUUACAAGAAAAUGAAUUUCACAGAAAAUGUCAUAAACUCAUGUGUUGAUGCGAGAGAGCUGGAUUGUGUAGGGAUGGGCUGCAGAAUUAUUUCACCAACACUAAAACAACGAUUGAUUACACAUUUCUACGUGGAGCCCUAAUUGAAUUAAUUUCCCUGCAAAUGGAGAACAUGCAAAUUCUGAGAGCCGGACUGCUUGACGUUCAGCUGCCACUGCGCCUUUAGUCUGAAACCCCCUUUUUAGUUUUUGUUAAGAGUUAAGUCUCCAACAAAGACAGGAAGGAGGUCAGCACUCAGCCAACACCUGAAUGCGCCUCUCUUUAUUGUGCUCCCCUUGAUCCCCACAGUCUGUGCCUGUCAUUAGUCUUAAUGAUGGAAAAUUGUCAUGUUGAUACAAGUCUUGCUCUCCCCCUCUCUUCUUUGUAUAAGUAGAAGGUGGAAGCUCCAUUUGUAACAAAGUUCUUUGUGACUAAAAGCCGUGGACAUUGCAUUUGUGCUGCGGGAGGAAAAAAAGGCUGUAGAUGCUCUUUCCAUAGCUGGGAUAAUUAUUCCUACUGUGACCUUAAUGAUUCGCUCUGUUCAUCCUGCAUCUCAUCCACGCGCCAGGCCCUCAGCAGAGCCCUGUGUCAGGGAAUAUGAAAAACCCAUAUAAUGAAACCAUUUUGGCUGAUGGAAAAAAAGGGCUACUGAAGCUGCACUUGCUACAAAGACGGCUCAAUUAUAUGAGUAAUUGUGAUAAUUUUCCCUCCAUUCACGGCUUUCUCUGAAAGGUAAAAAACACAGAUGGUGAAAGGGAAAUUACUUGGACAAUAUAUAAUCUGUGAAAUGGUCACAACAGAAAAAAAAGGUGACUGUAAGAAAGUGAGCGACUAUAAAUAGGUAUGUUAAUGCAGGGCACAUAAAUACACUCUUAGAAGCUCGCCGACAUAAACAAACAGCACUACCCCUGUAUGCUCAUGUGAGAAAAAAGAAACAUGCAACAAAUGACCAUUGCAAAAAAAAAGAAGAAAGAAAGGAAAAACAUGAUAAGAGUAGAUGUGCAGCUGCCAGAAAAUUAAACCUCCUUCUCCUUCCUAUUGACAAAUUUCGGCUCCUGAAAAUGCACCCCCAUAGUUGGCUAUCAUUUGUUGUUCUCUGACAGGAAAAGGAUAAUUACCUCUCUCAGAGGCAGGAGGACUGACAUGCCCUUUAGACUUAGCUUGAUAGAAAAGCCUCGGGAAUAAUUUUGUCUUUGCCUCUUUCCUUUAUGUUCAAGAGCAUGUUUUGUUCGAAAGAAGUUGGACAUGGCAGAAUUGUAGAGUGCAUUAAACCGUGGGUGUUCAGGUUCAUACUGUAAAUAUGACAUCCCAGUGUCUAUCAGCUUCUCCAUUCGAGGGGAAGGGGGGGAAAAAACUCUAAAAUGCAUUAAAAUUUCAAUUUCAUCUUGCUGGGAGACAGGCGAGAUAGUGAGAUAUGCAUUACUUCUUUUUCUUUUCACAGUGGGAGUUGGAUUAAACAUUUCUUCCCUCUGCAAAAAAAAAAGAAGAAAAAGCUUCUUUCUGUCAGGCAGGAGCGAGGCCGUGAAUUCAAGUUUGGUGGAGACAGAAAUUCGUUGGAUUUGAGGAAGUGUCCAACAUAUGUAGAAGGGCAGGAACGGUGUCCUGUAAAAAGAACUGUAUUUGCCCUGUUUUCCUGCGUUUCAUUGAAACUUUUAGCGCUCUAAUACAAAUAAAAAAAGAUUCUUGUGUGAUAUUUCAUCAAGUCCAAAACUAAAUACCCCCACAAAAAGUGCAUUAGGGCACAAACCUCCCACGUUUGGCCGCUGACCCCUCAGGCCCUGCAAUCUGGAAUAAAUCUCUCUCCACCAGCCAAGCAGCAUUACAGCCUCGCAGCUCAAAAAUACUUGUAUCAUACUCAAAUGAUGAGUCUCUGUCACACACCAUGUCAUCAGCUUCACCGCGGCCCCCCCGAUAACUUCCGUCCCAUUGAGCAGCCUCGCGUGUUACGGAGGCCGAGGAAGCCAAGAGACCCCCCUGGUCCCACCUGAUUGUGCCUCCAUGUAACAUGGAGAAGCAGCUUGGUCCCACCACCAGCCAAUACUCAGCAUUGCUUUUGUGUAGCACACACACACACACACACAUGUGCGCACACACUCGCACAAACCACCAAUCUCAAUUCAGUGCACCCCGCUGUGCACUUCCUGACAGCCUCCAGAAAUGUUUUCAACUUGUCAAGACCCUACAGUAAUGGUCCGGGAGCAGAAGAUUACGACAAAACAAUAAUCAUGUGAUCGCAGAUUUGUAGAAUGUAUACAAGAAUAAAAGUGUUUGUGUUGCCUCUUUUA